CCUACGGGUGGCAGCAGUGAGGAAUAUUGGUCAAUGGACGCAAGUCUGAACCAGCCAUGCCGCGUGCAGGAUGACGGCCCUACGAGUUGUAAACUGCUUUUGUACAAGAGUAAACGCAGGCACGCGUACCUGUUUGAAUGUACUUUAUGAAUAAGGAUCGGCUAACUCCGUGCCAGCAGCCGCGGUAAUACGGGGGAUGCAAGCGUUAUCCGGAUUUAUUGGGUUUAAAGGGUGCGUAGGCUGUUAGGUAAGUUAGAGGUGAAAUUCCCAAGCUCAACGGGGUGAAGUGCCAUUGAUACUGUUCGGCUGGAAGGCAGAUGCGGUAGGAGGAAUGUGUGGUGUAGCGGUGAAAUGCAUAGAGAUCAUACAGAACACCGAUUGCGAAGGCAUCUUACGAAUCCGCUAUUGACGCUGAUGCACGAAAGCGUGGGUAGCAAACAGGAUUAGAUACCCUAGUAGUC
rnacentral:rRNA from 1 species